rnacentral:rRNA from 1 species
UACGGAGGGUGCAAGCGUUAUCCGGAUUCACUGGGUUUAAAGGGUGCGUAGGUGGGCUGGUAAGUCAGUGGUGAAAUCUCCAGGCUUAACUUGGAAACCGCCAUUGAUACUAUCAGUCUUGAAUACCGUGGAGGUCAGCGGAAUAUGUCAUGUAGCGGUGAAAUGCUUAGAUAUGACAUAGAACACCAAUUGCGAAGGCAGCUGGCUACACGAAUAUUGACACUGAUGCACGAAAGCGUGGGGAUCAAACAGG